rnacentral:tRNA from 125 species
GGGUCGUUAGCUCAGUUGGUAGAGCAGUUGACUUUUAAUCAAUUGGUCGCUGGUUCGAAUCCAGCACGACCCACCA